GUCAAGGGGCACCACCGUAGACGAGCACUCGCCCUAGCGACACACCGCUGCUUCUGGAGACGGCGGCAUGGCUGUAGGGCUGUAGGUGGGAGCGCCUUGGAUAGGACGGAAACAAGAGGAGGCUACACGGCCGACCUUCCUGGGUUUAAGCCCCAAUCUUUGUAGCAAAUGAUUUCAGAGGAGGAAGAGCUUGGAGUGGAGGUCCGUUUCUCUGAAGUCAAUGGGUUUCAGUGGUGGAAGACUUUAGAGCGGAGGGUGGGUACGGAUCCUAGAGGUGGAGGAGCACAUGGAAUGGAAAUGGAGAGACCAUGAGCACAUCUGCACAUGGCAUAGAGACGGAAUGGAGUGGUGGUCCAGUUUCUCUUCCUCCCCAUUCUUCUCCAGCGAUUUACUUUUUUAUCUAUAAGGUUUAUUAUUUAGUGAAGACCUGCAAAUCUAUUUCAUUCCUAGGAGUUUUUUUUUACAUAACAUCUGAUUAUUUUUUCCCUGUGUUAUUUGCAUCAGCGGUGUUUGAUGCCAUUAAACCUAAGCUGGUUUGUCUCAUAAUUUGAUUUGAGGAAUCAUAUGAUAGUUUAUCCUGAUUUUAGCAACCUGAUUAGACAUAAGCAACACUGUUUUCUAAUACAUGAUGCAACUUUAGUGAAUUCACGAAUCUUUCCCUUGAAUGUGAUUAAUGUCUGUCAGGCUGACAGUCAUUGCACUUAUUUUUUAUUGUACAGAGGUCAAGUCCCUAGAAAAUGAAAACGAGUUGCUUGAGCGAAACAAAAUUGAUUGAAUGGAAACAUGGGCAGGCUGCUCCAUUCAAGGGAGUUUGCUUGAUGUCGCUUCUACUGUAUCAUUUGUCACAGCAAUAGUAAGAUCCUUAAAACUAAAAGUCAUCAGAGAUCAUUUGACAUGCUUGAAAGAAUUUGUGUUACUGAUUACUAGAAGUUAAAUCUCCAUAUUUUUUUUAUUAUGGUUUCUGGAGUUAAAUAGGAUAUUUAUUCAAACUAUAUUCCAUUUUAUUUUCUUGCAUUAUAUAUGAUCUUCUCAUCAUCAUAAGACAUCCUGGCUUACAGAAUGGUGAUGAGUUGUCUAACAUGAGAAGAGACUAGAGAACAGUACCAUGGAAAAUACCAGGAAUGCCGGUGAGUCAUCACGGCAUUUUCUCCACCAAGGUUGGUUCAGGCAUUUUCUUGGCGUCUCCCUGCCAAGGUGCUUAAGAUGUGCUAUGGUUGACUGGUAAAGCUUAAUGUUUAUAAUUUUUUCUGGGUUUGUUUCUCUCGCUGGACGUCAAGUGUAGGUUAGGCUAUACUUUUCAGAACAUACUAGCCAUUUUUGGGUGUUCCUUGAGGUACAUCUAAAACAAUGUGUGCUCACAGAUGAGAUGGAGCUUGGGAUUCUUUUUUAGGAACAGUUGUCCUUUUCCAAAAGAGGUCAUUUAAGAUUAGACUCUAGACAGAUGAUUGAUGCUUCAGGAUAAUGAAGAUGCUAUAGUUAGCAUAGACAAUGGUACUUGGUAGAGAAAAAGUAUCAACAUUUGUUCCUGCUCCAAUAGUUAUCUGUGGUGUCAUGUAUUUUGUUCAUUUCUUUACCAAGAUGCUAAUAUGUAUUUUGUUCAUUUAAGCUGCUAUGAAGCUGGUUCCCCAUCUGAGUGCCCUUUUGAGAUUGAUGCUGAAGAGGCAGGGAGGGAUAUGUUGUGGGGAAGAAGUGAUGGUGAGGGAUAAUGAAUAAAUGAACUCCGACUUCCUGCUGUAGAACCACUCCCACAACGCCCUCUUCUAAGUUAGCUACUACCUCCCCAAGAGAUGCAACAUCAAGCCA